CAUCCAAUCCGGACGAAUAUUUCGCCGGAUUUGGGCGUGGGAGCGCCAACGAGUGGGGAUGCUCUAAUUCCCUCUCCAACCACGUUGCUGUUUCAUCUCCCAAUCCCACCAUCAGGAUUCCAGAUCUCUCCAACCAUGACUUCAAUUGCAUCUGCACCGCCGAGCGGAGGUCCCAACGCCAAGUCCGCGGCGCGGGAGCUUCAGCACUGCGUCGUGCGCCGUUUCUUGGCGUUUACACCGAGGCAGAAGAGAGGGUCGUUGUGGAUGCGGGCAUGCGGCGCCUCUAUGCAUCGGAUCUGAGGGCCGGGUGGGGCGUCCGCAUUGUGCAGGUGACGGCUGCUCGCGCCUAAGGCCCAACGCAGGGAGCACGACGCCGUCAUCCAGGAGAUUGUCGGCAUCGGCAAGGUACUGCCUGUUCCACAUCUGCUCGAGUUCGAAUACCCCAUCUUUAUUGCAGCGCAACGAAUUUUGCAUAAAUCUGAUCCCCUUGCAGUCUAAAAAAAACAAGUAUUUUUGGUCUUCUGUGUCUGUUUAGAUUCAGGCGUUCUGUUUCUCAAGUUCUUGUGUUAAUACAUGUAGAAACGUGCAGUUGAUGCAUGGUUUCAAUGCAUGAUGAAUCUCUUCACAAUACGUGUAUAGGUAUUUUACCCCCGCUAUAAAAUUGUCAGCUCACGGAUAAUGGUGUUGGUGUUGCCACACAAAUGGUUGCGUAAUGGCAAAGUAGGAAAAUUCCAAGUAACUGAUUGUCUAGCACGUUAAUUAGGCAGUAGUCCUACAUUAUCUGGUAGCAGAAUGCUAGCUUGCCUGACGCCGGUGCAAUUCCAGUACAUCUCACUUACAGAAUCUCAAGGUUAUUCAUCCAGCGACAGUCCCAUCGCGCGGUGGAUAAACAUCAUCUUCAGUGCGUGCGUGAGUGAGUGAUAGAGAAACAGGAUCUUCACCGCGUGAGGAAUUGCAGCUCCAACGACUGUCCUGGCAGGCAUGAUGUGGAGAUGGUGGCGCUGCCAUCGACGUCCUACCCAACUUGUGGCGAUCAAUUAGUGGAUUUAGUUUACAGAUGGGACUGCGGCUUCUACCCCCUUGCACUCUUACCGAUCGCUGCUUUACCGCUUUGGAUAGGUUGUGAGGCGAGGCGACCACCAAUGAGAACCUCUUCAGGUGCAGGUCAAUGUCGCUCCCGUUUUACCACUGUUUUUUUUUGGUGCCUCCAGCUCUGACUUGAUGUUGUUGACUUGUGCAAUUUAUUCAGCUAGGUAAAUUGGGUCUGUUUCUUUUGUGCAUGUAUGAAUUCUAAACCCAAAUUAGAAAAUUGCCCAUAUAUGGUAGACGGGUGAAAGUCAAAAAUUUCCCCUGCCACUCUCUGAUGAUUCUUGUUGUAAACCUCUAUGUGUUGGGCCCUGCAACGACAAAUCUGUUUAGGGGAAAGUGAAUUGAUAAAAUAUCUCAAGUAAUUGUGUUUUCAUUCUAUAUCAGUUGUCAACUCAAGCUGAUUGAUCUUGCAAAUUAGGAUAAGGAUGCAAAUUAGAGUGUCAAUUCACUUUCCAUUUUUAUUUUGUUUCUGAUAUGUUUCUGACAUCAGGGGCGCGGAUUCGCCAAGCUAGGGCAAACAAAGCCAUCCGGCCCUACCAGAUUAAGAAUGCGAAGGUCUUUCCUUCCAAAGAAAAAAAGAGCUAUGCUAUUGACCGACCCUUUCGUACAUAUUUAUGGUUCUUUGGAUUCAAACAACAAUAUCACCAUAAAAUGGAAUAAGUGUGCUGCUGUUUCUUAUAUGUUGUAUAAGUAGCACCCUUCACAUCAACAUAUGUGCCUUCCAUCUGAACAUAUUAUACCACAUCUCUUUUAAUUAGUUAAUAGAUUGUGGCCUUAACAAGUGAUCACAUACUUCUCUACAAACAAAUAUCUCCUACUUUUUUAUGGUAAAAAUAAAUAAAGUAUCGUCUACUUCCCUACCUCCUUGACUAGAAAUAUGACGAAAAGAUAUAGCAUGUAUGAUGAUAGCUGAUGAUUUGAACAUUUGCAUAGAUAUGUUUGUCUUCAAUUCUUAAUCUCUAAACUGAUGGGGCAUAUUUUGGUAAUUAUAUAUUAUUUCUAAGUUGUACAUGCACAUUCUAAUGCUGUUACAGAUGCUCUUUAAUCACCGAUGCAGAGUUGCUUAGUUUUUGUCAGUUGUGCCGAUUGGGAAAACGUGGUGUAGCUAUGCUUCAUGGCCAUGAGUGCGCAAAAGAUAAUGAUGCACCUUUACAAAUAAUAAUUGAUACGUUCUCAUUUGUUAUAGAGGGCUGAUGGUUAGGUCCAUAAUCCAAUGAACCAUAGUGUUACUGCUAAGAACUGAUACUCCCAUGUUGCAUAUUUGACUUCUCAUCUUCUCUGUGCUGGUAAGAACACCUGAAGUGUUCUUUUGGGACAUGUUUUAGUUAAAAAAAAAAAUUGUGUUAGAUGAUGACAUGUUGGUUUAAAUGAUGGCUUCUAGAUUAUGCAACCCUUUUCAGGGCUUCCCUCUUAUUUACUCCAAACUCGGCAUCCCUGCUAGGUGAUGGUAAGACCAACGAAAAAAAAAUCCUUACUACGAAAUACAAUGAAGAAAGGGCAUAUUGGGGUGCCCUUGCUGAAAACAAUUAUUAUAGUUGAAGUUUUUUUUGUUUGUCUACAGGUUCUAAGAUGAUAUAACACUGAAGGUAAGUCUACAAGUGAAUCAAAUAAUUUACUAAAUACUUACAUGCCUUCUUGAAAACGUUGGUUCUAUCUGAUUUUGGUAUAGUUAUCUUUCAAAUUCACUGCUGCUAAAGGUUCUAAGAUUGAAGUGUUAUGAAUUAUGAACAUUUGAAUAUUGUUAUUUAUUGAUAAUCUCAAUUUAUUUGACUACUUUUUUGUAGGAGAGGAUUGAUCUCAUGAACCAUGAUUGAUAGACAUUGUUGUUGUUCUUUGUUUAUUAUAACUACUAUAUUAAAGCUGAACAGCUUCGAUUUUUGACAGAAUUUUGAGGCCUCUUGAAUUAAUCUAUCGGUGGUGGUUGUGUUUUCUUUUUUUUCAUCACCGUGUGGUUGUAGCAAUUUACCUGUUAGAUGGAGCUUUGCAGAUGGUCAAAGCGGCGUCUGUCCAUUGCCCCCCACGCGUGGGCUUUCUUAUGGCCUGGCACGUGAGACCUCUCCAGUCUCCAGUGUCUUCUCUCUAUUCCUCAUUAUUUCCCAUCGAACCACAUCGGCCUCUCUCUGAUUCAUCUCUUCGCGAUCCCGAGAUUUUCGUGUGCUUCGCCGGCUGCUCUGGCCGACGGCGACUGCCGAGCAGGAAUUUCCCCCCGCCCAGGCUCUCCGCUACCGGGAGAUCCCCUGGCAGAGCUCCUGUUCUGGCCGACGGCGACUGGGAGCAGGAAUUUUCCUCUGCCCGGGCUCUCCUCCGCGAGAUCCCCUGGCAGAGCUCCUCCGUGGCCGGCGGCCAUGGUGAGGCUCGGCUCCUCCUCCUUUGUUGCGGCCGUCGACGAGCUGCUUUCCUCACAUGGAAACGGUUCCCGGACCCAAAGGCUGGUGCGCCGUUUCGUUGCUUGACUGCCGGUGGUCUGUAUCUUGAAGAGGAGUGGCUCUCAACGACUCCCUUUAGAUUCGCCGCUUUACGUCCCCGUGGGCUUUUUCGAUAAACUUCCCAGCCUCUAUUGGUUCAUUGUCGCCGUUUGCCCGGCCGGACCUUGUGUGUCGGCCGAUUUCGCCGGCGACGAGCCAUGGUGCCGUGUCGCGGCGGUCGGGCCGCAUGGCGAACAUGUGUACCAUGGUGGAUAAUGCGGCGGCAGCCUGGGCGGAUAAGUUCGCACUACAGCUGGAGAUCGCUCCGUUCCAGGUGCGGCCUUUGGUCUGGGCCAGGCCAACCCCGCGCAACUUUCUACGACCGGUGGAGAUGAAGCGGGGCUGGGGCGACAGGGUUUGCGGCAGCCAAUCCAUUGACGAGUGUCCCUGGUGGUGACGUGCGGUCCGGUCUUGGCAAGACCAACGCCUGGUACUCGCCGGCUGAGCGGCCAGAUUGAAUUGGGGGAUGUGCCUUGCCGUCAUGAUUCCCGCAUCCUCCGGCGUAUGCGCGUCUUGGCCUCUUCGAGAAGGUACUGGUCGCCGUGCUAGAGCUCUCCGCACGAGGCGAGCUCGCUGUCAUGGUCCUCAUGGAUGGUCCCAUCUGAAGAUGUCCAGCGCCGGCCUCCACGUCGACUCGGCUACAGGCAAGGCCUUCGUGCACCACUACAAGCCGGCACCGUCAUGUAGAGGGAGGCAGCGGCGGGCGACCUAAGGAGGUCCGGCCUCAUCUUCUUUUUUCUAGAUGUCAUCUCCAUCGUCAGACCUCGCCGGUUCCCUCCGCAACGGCGACAAGCUCAUCGUCAUUGACUUCUUUUGUCCACUGUCGUGGUGCCAAUCGCACUCUCCACCCUAAGUUGAUUGUUCACUGUCGUAAUAUGACUUGAGGAUGGCCGUUGCCACGGAGCAGAGGGAGGUGAGUUUAGCGGGAGCAGUCCCUCCGCAGAAAACAAGAAAUCCUGAAACUUGCGAUAUUAAGAAGGUUAGCUGCGGUAAGGGUGGAGCCGCACUGGGUCUGCAUCUCGAAGAAUAACUUCCACUCAGUUCAUUAUCGGCGAGGCUGCCAUUCUUCGCCUGGGGUGCCUGCGCAUGGCGGGCAGACUGGGUCCGCAUCUCGUGGUCAUGGGCGCGGCCAUCGUGGUCCGUCUUUGGUUGCUGUCCCUUCUUUGCUCCUUGCUUGGUUGGAUCGGACUGCUGUUGUGGCUUUGUCAUUGGAAACUGAUGCAUAAUUCAUUCUUCGAAGCUGAUGCAAGGAGGCGGGAGAUUUGGUUGGGCAAGUGUCCAGUUGUUUUUGCACCGUCGCCGUUUACUUAUUCGAGUUCUUGUGCUCCUGGGCCUUAUGUGGAUUAUGAUGAUUAUUGUCCUGAUGAUUGGCCUCUUCCGAGUGGUGUUUUUAUUGAUGAUGACGGUUAUUCUGAUCCAUCUACUUCUGUCAGCGAUUUGUCUGAUUGUGUCGGCUGUCUGUGGUUGGUCAUGGUACUUCAGCGGAUGGCUUCCGUGCCUUUGCAUUUUCCAUAGCUAUUGCCCUUGUGGUAAUGUAGGAAAUUUAAAAAACAGGGUUUAGGUCUUAGUGACAAAAACAAGCUACUAAUGUUCAGCAUACAAUCUGGAUAGCCAUCCUUGGUCACGGUCAUACAUGUAUUGCAGUAUGGAUUCAACCUUCAAAAUAAAUGUCAUUAGUUGGAUGCAGCUUUUUAGGGGCCAUUCUUGUGUUCUUGAAUCCAACUUGAAGUUUACAUCUGUACAUGCUCGUGAGGAACAUGAACCAACUCGAUUUGUUGUUUCUCUACCCAAUUAAGCUGUUAAUAUCCCCCCUCAUUUAUCUUACAUAAUAAUGAUGAUGUUGAAUUUGUUGUUUACAAUAGUAUAUGGUUGCUCAACAUGUUAAAUAAGGCCCGCAGUGGCAUGAUAUUCAUUUUGGUUACUAAGCUUUGCAAUCUUUAUUAAUAGAAUUAUGGUAAAAGUCAUUGCUCGCCGUCCAUUCACUUUCUAUAGUGGAACAUUCCUGUGAAGAUGCACACAUUUUUUGUAGAUUAUUUCUUUCGUUCUAUUGAAUUGUUAUAAGAUGCAUUUAGGGUACAAGAAUAGUUUGCUUCCUUGGUUAUUGGGACCAGCUGACACUUCAGUGUUCUUUUGGUUCUGAAAUUAGCAGGAACAGCAGGAACAGACAUGUUUGUUGCAUUAUCUCAGCCUAAUGCUAUGCUUAAUAAGAUAGAUCCUCUUUGCAAGACCUCCGGUAACAAAAAAAAAGAUUCACUUUUAUGGAAUGAUGGUUAUUACAUUUUCUUGGUAACUCAUGCAACAUUUUCAGCAUGCCUCGAUGCAAUAUAUAGUCAGGUGCAGUGUGAUUGAUUUUAUUUAUGGCUUAGUGAUCUUUCCCUGGUCUGGGUUUGUGGAUUUUCGUUGCUGCAGAAUUUUUUUUAAGAUGGUUAUUAAUAUCAAGGUGUUUAUUUCUGUAUUCACACUAUAAAUUAAAAUGUCACAGUGUAAAAGAUCCAUAAUAAUGCCAAUUUUACUAAUGCAUUUCUUUUGUGGGAUGUUGCUUCUUCACCAUCUUGACAACAAUUGUUUUCCAUUUUACAUGCAGGUAUGCAUAAUUCUUCUAGAUAGCAAUCAGAUCUUGCUUAGGUUUAGUGUUCACGUAUGGGUUCUGUUUAUUGUAAUGUGAAAUAACUUACUUCUGCAUAUUAAAAAAAAAUCAGUUUGCUCUUAAAUGACAUGGGGCACAUUUUGUACCUAGCAGGCAACAUAAUACCUUUUUGACAUAGAUCUGCAAAGUUUGAAAAUGUCCGAUAGCAAUCGGAUUUGGCUAAGCUUUAGUGCUCUCACAUUGGUUCCAGUUUUUAUAAUAUGAAAUAACUUCUUUGCAUGCUGAAACUUUGUUGACUUCCCUUCCAGUAUAUUGAUUAAUUUGGUUGCUCUAAAAAUCAGCUCAUAGGAUAGUGCAAGAGAGAACAUUCAUUUACUCACAAUUAGUGGAUUAUUAAUUAUCAUAUUGCCCUGAUUACGGUUCUUAAUUUGUGUACUUUUUUCCUUAUUUUCCUAGGCUAUGAGCUUUGUUCUUUUUUUUCUGACAUCCAAUGCUCAUGGGGUGAGUUCCUCUUAUAAAUUUAUCGACCUAAGUCUGUUUGUCACUCUGGAUGUGGUAUAAUUUAUUUCAAAAGGAAGAGUUUGAUCACACGUCAAUCUUGCGUCGACUAGCUAACUAUCACUCAGGACUAGAGUAUUUCGAUACCCUGACAUAUUAUUUUCUAAGUGGCUGGUAUUCUAAUUCAGCAUUAGGAGCCAUCCACAAUAAUUGAAAUGCAGUGUUCUAUGAUGCCGGUGAGGGUGAGCAAACUGACUUCUAGCAUGAAAUGAAUGUUGGAAUAAAACUUCUUAAUGGUGAUGCAUAUAAUUACCAUUGGUAUUGGUGUCCAAAUAUUGCACCAGAGCCAAGAUAAUCCUCUUUUUUACAUAUUUGUUACUGUUUAUUAACAUGAAUACCUCAUUUCUCUUAUAAUUUAUCUGAUUCUAAAUUGUUCUCAGGUUUGUGGUUCGUCGUAUAGAUACAUGAAAUCUGCAACAACAUUUCAGUAUGAUAGCACCAAAUCUAGCAACUCCCUUAACUAUAUUGCUAAAUACAAUUUCGGAACUACGAGCAUGUUUCCCAUGUGUAUAAUGAUAUUCCUUGUUCUUGACGCAUCUCAUUGCUUAGUUGCUACGAACAUCGAAGGUUGCUGUAUUUUUUGUUAUCAUCUUUGGUUACAUAUGUACUAUUAUUCAGUUUUUUUCAUUGGUACGAAACAAUGCAUUAUCUAUCAAUUCAUAGG